CUCAGUUUUAAUCAGACUACACAGAGGACAGGACAGAGCUCAAGGAGGCAAUGAUACAACAACGGAGUGAACAAAGAAACAGACAGAGACGGGUAGAAAAAUGGAUAAGAUAAGAGGCAGGAUAAGAGGCAGGAUAAGAGGCAGGAUAAGAGGCAGGAUAAGAGGCAGGAUAAGAGGCAGGUUAAGAGGCAGGAUAAGAGGCAGGUUAAGAGGCAGGUUAAGAGGCAGGAUAAGAGGCAGGAUAAGAGGCAGGAUAAGAGGCAGGAUAAGAGGCAGGAUAAGAGGCAGGAUAAGAGGCAGGAUAAGAGGCAGGAUAAGAGGCAGGAUAAGAGGCAGGAUAAGAGGCAGGAUAAGAGGCAGGAUAAGAGGCAGGAUAAGAGGCAGGAUAAGAGGCAGGAUAAGAGGCAGGAUAAGAGGCAGGAUAAGAGGCAGGAUAAGAGGCAGGAUAAGAGGCAGGUUAAGAGGCAGGAUAAGAGGCAGGAUAAGAGACAGGAUAAGAGGCAGGAUAAGCGAAUAAACUACCAAGCCCCUCCCCCCUCCCUCUUUCUGGGUGAUUGACUUAGAGAGAAAAGAUGAAUGUCAAAACUUCCACUAUGAUUAAAGUUAAAACUGGUGUACAUUCUAA